rnacentral:lncRNA from 1 species
GUCCAGCAGCAGCAGCCAUGGUCUCUCAGCCCUCUGCAUCCUUCCCCCUGGCCGGCUCAGGGUUCCUGAGCACUUUCUCCUUGAGCAGGUCCAGGAUGACCUGUCUCUCCUGGCUCUCCAGCUCGAAGCGCCUCUCGCGCUCAGUCCUCUCGGCCCCGAGCCGCUCGCGUUCCAGGGCGAUCUUGCUCCGCUGGAUCUCCAGCUCCUCGCGUCUCAGCGCCAUCUCCUCCUCGCGCAGGCGCUGCUCGGCCUCCGCCCGCUUCUCCAGGAAGCUCAAGAUCUCCGAGUACGUCUGGCAGCAGCACUGGCAGGCGCGCUUGGCCGUGGGCGCGGGCAGGUCUGCCAGCUCGCCCACCCCCUCUGGGUCCUCUGGCUCUGGGGUCGUGACCUCUGUGGAGGUCAGUGGAGUCACUUGUCCUCACAAACCCAGGAGAAGUUCAGAGGGAAGGCAGCAGCUGUGGCACAGAGGGGGAGGAGAGGCAAACACACACGCGAGAGACACACACAUACGAGCUCCAGGUCCCGCGACGCGGAGAGACACUCUCACUCUCACUCUCACUCCACAGGCACUCAACACCCAAGAGUGA